GACGAACGCUGGCGGCGUGCUUAACACAUGCAAGUCGAACGGAAAGGCCCUGCUUUUGUGGGGUGCUCGAGUGGCGAACGGGUGAGUAACACGUAAGUAACCUGCCCUUGACUUUGGGAUAACUUCAGGAAACUGGGGCUAAUACCGGAUAGGAGCUCCUGCUGCAUGGUGGGGGUUGGAAAGUUUCGGCGGUUGGGGAUGGACUCGCGGCUUAUCAGCUUGUUGGUGGGGUAGUGGCUUACCAAGGCUUUGACGGGUAGCCGGCCUGAGAGGGUGACCGGCCACAUUGGGACUGAGUUACGGCCCAGACUCCUACGGGAGGCAGCAGUGGGGAAUAUUGCAAAAUGGGCGGAAGCCUGAUGCAGCAACGCCGCGUGCGGGAGGACGGCCUUCGGGUUGUAAACCGCUUUCGCCUGUGACGAAGCGUGAGUGACGGUAAUGGGUAAAGAAGCACCGGCUAACUACGUG
rnacentral:rRNA from 1 species